GGGGGGCGGUUGGGGUUCACCGCCUCGUGCCGUACUGGCUUCUGGGUGGCCCUUAAUGUCUUGUGCUCUAAGGUGCUGAGGGGAAAGACGCGGGAGGUCUCUGGCCUGACACUAUGAAGGAAGAGAGAAACUACAACUUCGACGGUGUGAGCACCAACCGCCUGAAACAGCAGUUGCUGGAAGAAGUCCGCAAGAAGUAGUGAAUGGAAAACCCGUUAUGAGACACAACUUGAAUUAAAUGAUGAACUAGAAAAGCAAAUUGUUUAUCUCAAGGAGAAAGUGGAAAAAAUCCAUGGAAACUCUUCAGGAAUCCUUAAACACAUUACUUAAACAGCUAGAAGAAGAAAAGAAGACUCUUGAAAGUCAAGUGAAAUACUAUGCACUUAAACUGGAACAAGAAUCAAAGGCUUACCAGAAGAUCAACAAUGAACGCCGUACAUACCUAGCUGAAAUGUCUCAGGGUUCUGGUUUACAUCAAGUUUCUAAAAGGCAACAGGUGGAUCAACUGCCUAGGAUGCAAGAGAAUCUAGUGAAAACGUAA
rnacentral:lncRNA from 1 species